UACAGAGGGGGCUAGCGUUGUUCGGAAUUACUGGGCGUAAAGGGCGCGUAGGUGGCCUGUUAAGUCGAACGUGAAAUCCCCGGGCUCAACCCGGGAACUGCGUCCGAGACUGGCAGGCUCGAAUCCGGGAGAGGGAUGUGGAAUUCCAGGUGUAGCGGUGAAAUGCGUAGAUAUCUGGAGGAACACCGGUGGCGAAGGCGGCAUCCUGGACCGGUAUUGACGCUGAGGCGCGAAAGCCAGGGGAGCCAAAGCGGG
rnacentral:rRNA from 1 species